rnacentral:rRNA from 1 species
GGGAGUGGCAAGCGUUAUCCGGAAUUAUUGGGCGUAAAGCGUCCGCAGGCGGUUUUACAAGUCUGUCGUUAAANCGUGGAGCUCAACUCCAUUUCAGCGAUGGAAACUGUAAGACUCGAGUGUGGUAGGGGCAGAGGGAAUUCCCGGUGUAGCGGUGAAAUGCGUAGAUAUCGGGAAGAACACCAGUGGCGAAAGCGCUCUGCUGGGCCAUAACUGACGCUCAUGGACGAAAGCCAGGGGAGCGAAAGGGAUUAGAUACCCCUGUAGUCCUGGCCGUAAACGAUGAACACUAGGUGUCGGGGGAAUCGACCCCCUCGGUGUCGUAGCCAACGCGUUAAGUGUUCCGCCUGGGGAGUACGCACGCAAGUGUGA